rnacentral:rRNA from 1 species
AAUACCCCAUACUCCUUCUUAUCAUAAGGUAAGUUGGGAAAGAUUUAUUGCUAAAGGAUGGGGCUUUAUGGUAUCAGCUAGUUGGUGGGGUAAUGGCCUACCAAGGCGAUGACGCCUACCUGGUCUGAGAGGAUGAUCAGGCACACUGGAACUGAGACACGGUCCAGACUCCUACGGGAGGCAGCAGUGGGGAAUAUUGCACAAUGGGGGAAACCCUGAUGCAGCAACGCCGCGUGGAGGAUGACGCAUUUCGGUGUGUAAACUCCUUUUAUAAGGGAAGAUAAUGACGGUACCUUAUGAAUAAGCACCGGCUAACUCCGUGCC